rnacentral:rRNA from 1 species
AACGAACGCUGGCGGCAUGCCUAACACAUGCAAGUCGAACGAUGCCUUCGGGCAUAGUGGCGCACGGGUGCGUAACGCGUGGGAAUCUGCCUUUCGGUUCGGAAUAACUCAGGGAAACUUGAGCUAAUACCGGAUAACGUCGCAAGACCAAAGAUUUAUCAGGGUAGGAUGAGCCCGCGUAGGAUUAGCUUGUUGGUGAGGUAAAGGCUUACCAAGGCGACGAUCCGUAGCCGGGCUGAGAGGAUGGACGGCCACACUGGGACUGAGAUACGGCCCAGACUCCUACGGGAGGCAGCAGUGGGGAAUAUUGCACACGGGGCGCAAGGCUGAUGCAGCGAGGCCGCGUGGGGGAGGACGGGCUUCGGGUUGUAAACGGCUUUCGCUAGGGACGAAGCUUUUUGUGACGGUACCUAGAUAAGAAGCACCGGCUAACUACGUG